ensembl:miRNA
AGGGACUUGCUGGAGAUGUGCCUGAGGGAGUAAGACACUAUCUUACAACAACAGGGCUCUUACUCCCUCAGGCACUGCACCAGCCAGCAAAGCAUCA